rnacentral:rRNA from 1 species
AUUGAACGCUGGCGGCAGGCCUAACACAUGCAAGUCGAGCGAGCGGCGGACGGGUGAGUAAUGUCUGGGAAACUGCCUGAUGGAGGGGGAUAACUACUGGAAACGGUAGCUAAUACCGCAUACCAUCAGAUGUGCCCAGAUGGGAUUAGAGAGUAGGUGGGGUCACGGCUCACAUAGGCGACGAUCCCUAGCUGGUCUGAGAGGAUGACCAGCAACAAUGGAAAUGAUAAACGGUCCAGACGCCUACGUGAGGCAGAAGUGGGGAAUAUUGCACAAUGGGCGCAAGCCUGAUGCAGCCAGGCCGCGUGUGUGAAGAAGGCCUUAGGGUGGUAAAGCAAUUUCAGCGGGGAGGCGUUACCCGCAGAAGAAGCACCGGCUAACUCCGUGCCAGCAGCCGCGGUAAUAC